ensembl:snoRNA SNORD18 Small nucleolar RNA SNORD18
UUAUUAUGAUGAGAUUCUACUUUAUGGUCCGUGUUUCUGAAACAUGAUUUUGUGGAACUUCUGAUUCU